AGAGUUUGAUCCUGGCUCAGAUUGAACGCUGGCGGCAUGCCUUACACAUGCAAGUCGAACGGCAGCAUGAUCUAGCUUGCUAGAUUGAUGGCGAGUGGCGAACGGGUGAGUAAUACAUCGGAACGUGCCCUGUAGUGGGGGAUAACUAGUCGAAAGAUUAGCUAAUACCGCAUACGACCUGAGGGUGAAAGUGGGGGACCGCAAGGCCUCAUGCUAUAGGAGCGGCCGAUGUCUGAUUAGCUAGUUGGUGGGGUAAAGGCCCACCAAGGCGACGAUCAGUAGCUGGUCUGAGAGGACGAUCAGCCACACUGGGACUGAGACACGGCCCAGACUCCUACGGGAGGCAGCAGUGGGGAAUUUUGGACAAUGGGGGCAACCCUGAUCCAGCAAUGCCGCGUGUGUGAAGAAGGCCUUCGGGUUGUAAAGCACUUUUGUCCGGAAAGAAAUCGCACUUACUAAUAUUAGGUGUGGGUGACGGUACCGGAAGAAUAAGGACCGGCUAACUACGUGCCAGCAGCCGCGGUAAUACGUAGGGUCCAAGCGUUAAU
rnacentral:rRNA from 1 species